rnacentral:rRNA from 1 species
GACGUAGGGCGCGAACGUUGUCCGGAUUUAUUGGGCGUAAAGAGCUCGUAGGUGGCUUGUUGCGUCUGCCGUGAAAGCCCGUGGCUUAACUACGGGUCUGCGGUGGAUACGGGCAGGCUAGAGGCUGGUAGGGGCAAGCGGAAUUCCUGGUGUAGCGGUGAAAUGCGCAGAUAUCAGGAGGAACACCGGUGGCGAAGGCGGCUUGCUGGGCCAGUUCUGACGCUGAGGAGCGAAAGCGUGGGGAGCGAACAGG